rnacentral:tRNA from 1 species
GCAUUGAUGGUUCAGUGGUGGAAUUCUCAUCUUCCAUGUGGAAGACCUAGGUUCGAUUCCCAGCCAAUUCA